UUGCUGAGAAAUGGAGAGGAUUUGAACUUAAAGACAUUUUAAAAAACAAUGUGAUAAAAAAUAACAUGCCUGGUGUUUCCUUACAGAAUGGUAAAUUUUACUUCCUUUCUCGCAGUGAAAGAGUGAAAAGAAGCAUUUUCCCCUGCUGUAUAAGAGCAAUUUCUUAAUUUGUAAACCCUAAACUACCAAACUGUGAAGGACCUCAGUUGGAGCUGCAUUUGGUAUGAAGGUGUAGAUCUUGUUUUGGAUUUGGAGUAUAGUAAUAAUAUUUCUAUUAUUAUUUUCCGCAUCUACUUUUGAUCAGAGAUUAAACAUAGAGAAGUUCAACCUUGCAAGUGUCUGUUGCAUGAUCUAAGGUGCCAUGGAAGGAUGUGGCUUGGCUCAGAAGAGGCCCCGUUCCCUCCAUGGAGAGAGGACAAGGCAGAGGUGGCAGUGGCUUGUGGGAUCUUUUCCCAGGAAAAUAAAAGAUUUUCUUAUGGAAGGAAGCCAAAGGGCCCAUCUGGAUCCAUCCUGUCUGAGUUGUGAAUUACAACUCCUGUUUGCAGCAGCUCUGCAAAAAGAAGUCUAGCUGUUGGCAGAGAGACAUCAUGUACCUUUAUCUUCUCAACAACCUGCAGAGAAUUUGGUGAAUGCUGCACAACCCAGGAAGACUCAAAAUAGAAGAACAGCUAUGCACAGUAUGCCAACCUGAUUGUCUGAAUGAUGCGAGUCCUCAGUGGCAGAGCUGGUCUGAAUUUUUCCCACUGUAAUGAGAACUUCAACUCCUUUCCACAUUGGGAUGAAAACAAGAGCCAGGAGACUUCUCACAAAAAAAA